rnacentral:lncRNA from 1 species
UAUUUUUCUGUGAUAUUUUUUUGUGUAGAUAUAAUAUCUGAGAGUUUGGAGGAGUUUCACUUGUUAGGGUCAUAUGAACUUGAACAAAUUUGAGAUUCCAUAGACAAAGUUUAUUUGUCUCUUAGGUAAGGGAAGUUAAUUACAUUGUUUUUAAGUUAUAAAGACUUUGAAAUUUAUAAUUGUAUGAUUUAUAUGGGAAAUUGACUGAAUGAUUGAUAAGUGUGAUGAGUGUGAUCAAUUGAAAUGUGAAAAUGUUGUCUGAUUUAUAUUUUAGAUGAAAUUGUUAAGUUAGUAAAGAUUGUGAAAUCUAAAAAUUUCGUGUUUUAGCAUAUGUGAUUUCAAUGUUUGAUUCUUGAAUUUUUGGCUUGUUUGAACUUGGUUUUGUGUGAUUUAGAGAGCUUAAAUUUGAGCAAUUGGUCAAGUGGUAUGAGCUUUCUUGUUUAAAAAUGUUUUGAACUCACACUAAGAAGUGAGUAUCGAUUUGAUCAAUUGAACAAAUAUAAGUUCCCUUAAAAGCAUAAAAUACAAGUGUUGAUAUAUAGUAUAACGUUAAACGAUGCUAGGGUGAUGUUAAACGUCCAAUUUUUCAAAUUGAAUAACAAUGAGUGGUGUCAGGGUGACAUUGAGCGCCUAAUUCUACAAAUGGUUUGGUGUUGAAUAGUGUCAAGGUUGCGUUGAGCGUCUUCUUUAUACUAUAGGUCUGGAGCAUUUUAGUUCCAAUACGCUAGGAGACAUAAAGGUCUCGAUGAUCACGACUUUUUGCAAGAAGAAUGGUGUUGAACACUAAGAGUGGUACUAAGUGCCACCUUUUGUAGGAAGAAUGGCAUCAGGCACCACCUUUGAGCCCAACUUGUAUGUUUGAUUUGUUUUUCUUCUUGGUUGUUUGCAUUGAUUUAAAUAAACUUUAAGUAUGUUUGUGACCAUGAUGACUAUGUGCGGAUAUGAUGAUUUUAAUGUGAAUAUGUUUGGAAAUGUCGUUGAGAGAAUUUCAAGAAGAAAUUCUAUGUGGUGGUAAUGUCGUUGAGAGAAUUUCAAGAAGAAAUUCUACCAACCAUUCAACUCAUAUAGAGAGGAAUGGAGGGGGGAGAGAAUGUCAGAAGGUUCUAGCCCCUGGACUAUUUUGGUCCUAGGUGCGAAAGGGACUAACCUUGUGAGUGAUAAGGUGAUAACCCCAUGUUUAUGACUUUGUAAAGCAUAAAAACUACUCCAAGUGCAUGCCUAUAGUGAAACCCGAUGUCAAAGGCACAUAAUCGAAUAAUUAAGUCUAGUGUCAACUAUUUAUAUAUAUAUAUAUAUAUAUAUAUAUAUAUAUAUAUAUAUAUAUAUAUAUAUAUAUAUAUAUAUAUAUAUUGUAUUUAAUCCAUGUUUAGCUUAUAUUUGAUAUGAUUUAAUUGUCUUAGGAUAACUCUUUUGCACAUUAGCUUACCCUAUCGUUUCUAUGGGUGUUUCUUGUGUCUUUUCAGUUUCUGACCUAGCUCGAACCUUGGCUUAUAAAUAGAGUUCUCCAUUUCUUAGAAGGCAACUUUUCAUUUGAGAGUAUUAGAGUUGCAUGCCUAAGGGAAACUUUGUGUGUGAAAAGGAAACUAAGCCAUUUGAGAAUACAGAAUAGUUCUGAGGAAGUUCUUAAAUCUUAGAGUGCUCAUAUCAAGUCUUGUGAACAGUAGAAGCUUGCGUUUAGUGUGUCUAAAGUCGAAACGGUUCUCUUUAAGUUUAUUGAGAAAAUUCUUCCAUCAUGUGUCGAAGGAAGGUGUUCUUCG